rnacentral:rRNA from 1 species
UACAGGGGGUGCAAACGUUGCUCGGAAUUAUUGGGCGUAAAGCGCGCGUAGGCGGCUACUUAAGUCGGAUGUGAAAGCCCUUGGCUCAACUGAGGAAGUGCACCCGAAACUGAGUGGCUUGAGUACCAAGAGGGUCGCGGAAUUCCCGGUGUAGAGGUGAAAUUCGUAGAUAUCGGGAGGAACACCGGUGGCGAAGGCGGCGACCUGGGUGGAUACUGACGCUGAGGCGCGAAAGCGUGGGGAGCAAACAGG